GCUCCUAUAGCUCAGCUGGCAGAGCGCAAGACUGAAGCCGGAAAAACGCACCACAUUACUGGUGAAUUCCUCAGUCCUUCUUGAGGUCACCUGUUCGAACCAGGUUGGGAGCA